GAUGAACGCUGGCGGCGUGCCUAAUACAUGCAAGUCGAGCGAACAGAUGAGGAGCUUGCUCCUCUGACGUUAGCGGCGGACGGGUGAGUAACACGUGGAUAACCUACCUAUAAGACUGGGAUAACUUCGGGAAACCGGAGCUAAUACCGGAUAAUAUAUUGAACCGCAUGGUUCAAUAGUGAAAGACGGUUUUGCUGUCACUUAUAGAUGGAUCCGCGCCGCAUUAGCUAGUUGGUAAGGUAACGGCUUACCAAGGCAACGAUGCGUAGCCGACCUGAGAGGGUGAUCGGCCACACUGGAACUGAGACACGGUCCAGACUCCUACGGGAGGCAGCAAUAGGGAAUCUUCCGCAAAGGGCGAAAGCCUGACGGAGCAACGCCGCGUGAGUGAUGAAGGUCUUCGGAUCGUAAAACUCUGUUAUUAGGGAAGAACAAAUGUGUAAGUAACUAUGCACGUCUUGACGGUACCUAAUCAGAAGGCCACGGCUAACUACGUG
rnacentral:rRNA from 1 species